GACCGGCGCACGGGUGCGUAACGCGUAUGCAAUCUACCUUUAACUGAAGCAUAGCCCGAAGAAAUUCGGAUUAAUACUUCAUAAUAUCCUGAAUUCGCAUGUUUUUAGGAUUAAAGCUCCGGCGGUUAGAGAUGAGCAUGCGUGCCAUUAGUUUGUUGGUGAGGUAAUGGCUCACCAAGGCUACGAUGGCUAGGGGGUCUGAGAGGAUGAUCCCCCACACUGGUACUGAGACACGGACCAGACUCCUACGGGAGGCAGCAGUGAGGAAUAUUGGUCAAUGGGCGCAAGCCUGAACCAGCCAUGCCGCGUGCAGGAUGAAUGCCCUACGGGUUGUAAACUGCUUUUCUACAGGAAGAAACCUUUCGACGUGUCGAGAUUUGACGGUACUGUAGGAAUAAGCAUCGGCUAACUCCGUGCCAGCAGCCGCGGUAAUACGGAGGAUGCAAGCGUUAUCCGGAUUUAUUGGGUUUAAAGGGUGCGUAGGCGGAAUGAUAAGUCAGUGGUGAAAUCCUGCGGCUCAACCGUAGAACUGCCAUUGAUACUGUUAUUCUUGAGUACAGUUGAGGUGGGCGGAAUGUGUAAUGUAGCGGUGAAAUGCUUAGAUAUUACACAGAACACCAAUUGCGAAGGCAGCUCACUAAGCUGUUACUGACG
rnacentral:rRNA from 1 species